UACGAAGGGGGCUAGCGUUGCUCGGAAUCACUGGGCGUAAAGCGCAUGUAGGCGGAUUGUUAAGUCGGGGGUGAAAUCCUGGAGCUCAACUCCAGAACUGCCUUCGAUACUGGCGAUCUUGAGUCCGGGAGAGGUGAGUGGAACUCCGAGUGUAGAGGUGAAAUUCGUAGAUAUUCGGAAGAACACCAGUGGCGAAGGCGGCUCACUGGCCCGGUACUGACGCUGAGGUGCGAAAGCGUGGGGAGCAAACAGG
rnacentral:rRNA from 1 species